CUCGAAAGCCUGUCCCAGUUCGGACUGGAGUCUGCAACCCGACUCCACGAAGUUGGAUUCGCUAGUAAUCGCGCAUCAGCCAUGGCGCGGUGAAUACGUUCCCGGGCCUUGUACACACCGCCCGUCAAGCCAUGGGAGCCGGGGGCGCCUGAAGUCCGGGACCGCGAGGACCGGCCUAGGGCGAAACUGGUAACUGGGGCUAAGUCGUAACAAGGUAAC
rnacentral:rRNA from 1 species